rnacentral:rRNA from 1 species
AUUGAACGCUGGCGGCAGGCCUAACACAUGCAAGUCGAACGAGUGGCGGACGGGUGAGUAAUGUCUGGGAACCUGCCCGAUGGAGGGGGAUAACUACUGGAAACGGUAGCUAAUACCGCAUACCAUCGGAUGUUCCCAGAUGGGAUUAGCUAGUAGGUGGGGUAACGGCUCACCUAGGCGACGAUCCCUAGCUGGUCUGAGAGGAUGACCAGCCACACUGGAACUGGGAACCGGCCAAGACGCCUCCGGGGGGCAGCAGUGGGGAAUAUUGGCAAAUGGGCGAAAGCCGACGGCAGACAUGCCGGGGUGAUGAGGAAGGCUUUCGGGUUGUAAAGUACUUUCAGCGAGGAGGCGUUACUCGCAGAAGAAGCACCGGCUAACUCCGUGCCAGCAGCCGCGGUAAUUC